rnacentral:rRNA from 1 species
AACGAACGCUGGCGGCAUGCCUAACACAUGCAAGUCGAACGAGACCUUCGGGUCUAGUGGCGCACGAGUGCGUAACGCGUGGGAAUCUGCCCUUGGGUUCGGAACAACAGUUGGAAACGACUGCUAAUACCGGAUGAUGACUUCGGUCCAAAGAUUUAUCGCCCAAGGAUGAGCCCGCGUAGGAUUAGCUUGUUGGUGAGGUAAAAGCUCACCAAGGCGACGAUCCUUAGCUGGUCUGAGAGGAUGAUCAGCCACACUGGGACUGAGACACGGCCCAGACUCCUACGGGAGGCAGCAGUGGGGAAUAUUGGACAAUGGGCGAAAGCCUGAUCCAGCAAUGCCGCGUGAGUGAUGAAGGCCUUAGGGUUGUAAAGCUCUUUUACCCGGGAUGAUAAUGACAGUACCGGGAGGAUAAGCCCCGGCUAACUCCGUGCCAGCAGCCGCAGUAA